GAGGAAAGCUGGCGGCGUGCCUAAUACAUGCAAGUCGAGCGAACGGACGAGAAGCUUGCUUCUCUGAUGUUAGCGGCGGACGGGUGAGUAACACGUGGAUAACCUACCUAUAAGACUGGGAUAACUUCGGGAAACCGGAGCUAAUACCGGAUAAUAUUUUGAACCGCAUGGUUCAAAAGUGAAAGACGGUCUUGCUGUCACUUAUAGAUGGAUCCGCGCUGCAUUAGCUAGUUGGUAAGGUAACGGCUUACCAAGGCAACGAUGCAUAGCCGACCUGAGAGGGUGAUCGGCCACACUGGAACUGAGGCACGGUCCAGACUCCUACGGGAGGCAGCAGUAGGGAAUCUUCCGCAAUGGGCGAAAGCCUGACGGAGCAACGCCGCGUGAGUGAUGAAGGUCUUCGGAUCGUAAAACUCUGUUAUUAGGGAAGAACAUAUGUGUAAGUAACUGUGCACAUCUUGACGGUACCUAAUCAGAAAGCCACGGCUAACUACGUG
rnacentral:rRNA from 1 species